rnacentral:piRNA from 1 species
UUCUCAAUUAGUGAUUGAGGUGGAUAGG